AGCUUUUCGAAUCCGUGCUGAAAUUUCGUCAGACACCAAUACAUUUGGGAUGACCAGACUUCGAAGAUAAGUGAAGUU
rfam:Schistosoma margrebowiei strain Zambia genome assembly, scaffold: SMRZ_scaffold0000531